GUAGGGAAUCUUGCGCAAUGGGCGAAAGCCUGACGCAGCCAUGCCGCGUGAAUGAUGAAGGUCUUAGGAUUGUAAAAUUCUUUCACCGGGGACGAUAAUGACGGUACCCGGAGAAGAAGCCCCGGCUAACUUCGUGCCAGCAGCCGCGGUAAUACGAAGGGGGCUAGCGUUGCUCGGAAUUACUGGGCGUAAAGGGAGCGUAGGCGGAUAGUUUAGUCAGAGGUGAAAGCCCAGGGCUCAACCUUUGAAUUGCCGUUGAUACUGGCUAUCUUGAGUAUGGAAGAGGUAUGUGGAACUCCGAGUGUAGAGGUGAAAUUCGUAGAUAUUCGGAAGAACACCAGUGGCGAAGGCGACAUACUGGUCCAUUACUGACGCUGAGGCUCGAAAGCGUGGGGAGCAAACAGGAUUAGAUACCCCUGUAGUCC
rnacentral:rRNA from 1 species